GAUCAUGGCUCAGGAUGAACGCUAGCUACAGGCUUAACACAUGCAAGUCGAGGGGCAGCAUGGUCUUAGCUUGCUAAGGCCGAUGGCGACCGGCGCACGGGUGAGUAACGACGUAUCCAACCUGCCGUCUACUCUUGGACAGCCUUCUGAAAGGAAGAUUAAUACAAGAUGGCAUCAUAGAGUCCGCAUGUUCACAUGAUUAAAGGUAUUCCGGUAGACGAUGGGG
rnacentral:rRNA from 1 species